GGGGCUGAAAAUAGGUGUAGACAUAUUUAUUUUAUAACAUUAAAAGACAUGUCAAGUUUAUGAAAAUCUUGUAAAAAAUUCUUUAAACUUAAUAUUUGCAAAAAAUAAUAUGAUGUUUAAUAGUUCAAAUUUAUCAAUAGCUUAGGUUUUUGAUAUAUUGAAAAUUUAGUAAUAUUUUUUAAAUAUUAAUUAUUUUUCUUUAUAAUUAAUAUAUUUUAAUAAAAAAAAAGAAAUAAGCAUGUUAAUAACUUUUAUUUAUAAUUAUUUAUGGAAGUGAGUUCGAAUCUCACCAGCUCCACCA
rnacentral:tmRNA from 1 species